UACAGAGGUGGCAAGCGUUGUUCGGAAUUACUGGGCGUAAAGGGCGCGUAGGCGGUCUUGUCAGUCCCUUGUGAAAUCCCCCGGCUCAACUGGGGAACUGCAAGGGAAACAGCAGGGCUUGAGUUCGGGAGAGGGAAGCGGAAUUCCGGGUGUAGCGGUGAAAUGCGUAGAUAUCUGGAGGAACACCGGUGGCGAAGGCGGCAUCCUGGACCGGUAUUGACGCUGAUGCGCGAAAGCCAGGGGAGCAAACGGG
rnacentral:rRNA from 1 species